CAUUGGCACGCAAUGACAACUUCUUCCAUGCGCACGGAACAUUCAUGCACGAUGUGUGUUCGUAUUCAUUUACGAAUAUCGCCACGGCUGCGGCGUGCUUGCACCAGCCUCCGCAGCCAGCUUUGCAUGUACAGCUUGCGUGCAAGAUAUUUCUGUAAUUUCUGACAACUAAAAAUAAAAAAUGCAGCGGUUAGCAAAAUUGAGGCACUUCUUCUUUUGAAGGAAGGAUUGGCUCAUCUCCAGUCGCACAUCGUAGUACACGCUUUUCAUCUGGGCGACACAUUUGCCGACGAGGUCCGACGGGCCGCUUGCAUUCACCGAUUCUUGUUGUACUGCGUAAACGUGAUCUGCCGUGGUUGCUCAGUGGCUAUGGUGUUGGGCUGCUGAGCACGAGGUCGCGGGAUCAAAUCCCGGCCACGGCGGCCGCAUUUCGGUGGGGGCGAAAUGUGAAAACACCUGUGCACCUAGAUUUAGGUGCGCAUUAAAGAACCCCAGGUGGUCAAAAUUAUCAGAAGCUGUUGAUAAGCAGCUAUUUCCGGUUCGGUCCCAUUCUUGAGAAAGACAUUCGACAAGUGGGCUAGUCCUGCUUCCAUGUUGAGGAUAUCACACAUGGAGAGUAUAUCGAACUCCAUAAGCAGCUGGAAUUAAAGGAUACAUCAGUCCCUGUACAUCUAAUAGAACAUAUCUGAGCAUACCGAUGACUCCGUUGACAAGAAAGGAAAAAGCAGUUAUGCUUCUGCAACAUCCACAAUCCGCAGCUCUUCCUGCCAUUCUUUGGCUGCUGCCAAAAGCCGCGGCCGAAGCUUUGUGUCGGCAGAUCUUGCAUUGGCUUUUAGCCAGUCUGUAUGCCUCUCCACUAACUCUGCAGUGUCCCCGUGGCCAACAAGGUGGCUGCAGUCGCGCAACAUGCCAAAGAAUAGAUCGAUACGUAAGCAUGUGCCAUGCUGAAGUUCUCAAUUUAAGAAAGUUGCACUACUGAAGACAUGGCAACUAUGUCCUUGGCUUGAUGCUUCUUUUCUUGAAUAAGUUAAGCUUCCAGCUUCCUCUAUAACCUACUUACCUUACACCUACUUAAAUAAACACUUACAUACUUACCUACUUGCUGCUUAUAACCUACUUACUAUACUUGUGCCAGCCUAUUAAGGUGAAAAUUUAGGUAUAAUAAAUCUGCCCUUUAGUAUAUUGCACAAGAUUGUAAGAGCCUGCAAAAUUGCAGAUAGGCAAGUAUGCUCAAUGAAAAAAAAAGGGAAGAAAAACACAACCUUUGGGGCCAAGUUACAGCAGUAAGUUGAUUUGAAUAACACCCGCAUCCUGUACUGUGAAUUACUUAUGCAUGCUAUAGAAGGAUCCUACUAUUAUUUGAAUUAGUGCACAUUAUUAUGACAGUUCAAAGUGCAGAUUAGAAAGGUAAACUAUUGUUUUUUCGUACAUAAAAUUAUAGUUCUUUGGAUUAGUCAUUGUGACAGUUCCAAUAUGAACUCACAGACAAGUGAGAGAUUCUGUUGCUUGCGCCUUCCUCGGAGACCGACGUCCUGGUCGCAUAGUUCUGCAGGAACUUCCUUUUUGCUACAUUCGCUCUGCACAGCACUGCCUUUUUUCUCAUGUUUUUAAACUUUUUCGGAUGCCCAAUACCCAAGAAUCCCAGUAGAGAAAAACAAAAACAAAAGUGAGCAAUAAAUGAAGGACCAGGCGCAGCAUAAUUAUUUUGAUAGUCACUUAAGAAGCAUGUGACGAUCAGUUUUGAUGUAAUUCUUCCAAAACCUAGCUAAAUGCAGAAUAGCAUGGAGCGCUCUUGACAGGCAAAGGUAGAUUCAGAGUUUCUUAAUUUUAUAACCAAUUACAACACGUCGACGAUCUCAUUAAGCCGGUUUGUUAACUGCCUGCUUUGAAAAUGUUUUACUUCAAAAGGCUUCGAAAGCUGUCUCUCUACAGAAACCUUGCUGGGGCAAGGGGCCACAACCAGUCUUCAAAUUAUCAAAACUUUUCAUACAACUUUAUUGGAAGCAAAUUUUUCUGGAUAAAGAAAAUGCCUGUGUAUGUGUCGCAUGACUGUAAUCAUAGAAAUCUUGCUCACCAUGUCACUGCUUCCACGAAUUUUUUCUGUCAAAUGUGGGUAUUUGUUCACAAGCUGCUGUGCUGUGACUCUGCACAAUUGCCUUGAUGGGUACCUGUGGUAACAAAAGAACAAGUUUGUAUGCCCCUAUCAACUGCAGUACACCAGUACAGCUGAAACAUUUUCUUUGCAGUUUCUAAGAGCAGGAAUUUUCAGGCAUUCAAUAACAAGAACAUUGUGCUGGUUUCUCUGGAGUGUACACAUCAACUUAUAGAAUAAAAGACUAGCUUGCGUUAUACAUUGACAAAUACACUGCAUAUUGAAAGUAAAUGUCAUGUAAGCACUCUCGUUAAAUAACUCGGCCUGAGGAAAAGAGAGGAUUGAUGAUUUACGCAUUUAGCAAGUAUAUGUGCUUUUGAUCAAUUAGUAAAAGUGACUAUUCCAUGAAACGUGUCUGCCGUAUCCAGAACCUCACACUAAACAAAUUACAAGUGUAUAUGAUACAUUUGGAAAUGUAGUAUGCACCUGUCAUUUGUUUAUCCAUAUUUAAUUUUAUGCUAAAAGUGGACUUCAAGGAAAGCAAAUAUUGUUAUUUCGCAUUAUGUUUUCUAGGCAGUUUUUAUUACGACAUCAAACAAUGCCCAUGUCAUACAAGGUGAAGGUAACAAGGUCGCAAAAAAAAAUCAAUUGUAACAUGAAACCAAUGCAUACAAUGCAGUCUUAUAGCAUUCUUGAAAGAGCUUGUUGACAACAAAGCGCCGAAGUAAACUACUGAUGGGGGUUCCACUUUGUAGUACCCUUUCGUAGGGAUGAAAAUUUGGAAGUUUAAAUUCCAGAUAGUCUUGCUUGUUGUGCAAAGUAUGGUAACCACCUCAUGCUCGCCAGGAGAGAUGAAAAAAGUGAUAGUUCAAUCACUUUUUCAUCACAUUAUGACAGGUCUGCAAGGGAACAACAAAACGUCUGAAAUUCAAUGAGUUCUUUAUUAUUUAGCGACCACCGGUAGAGAAAGUUCAGCACAUCCUAAUACAACAGAAAGAGCGGAUAGUAAAAUGAACUAUCCUACGAAUGAAAGCGUGUCUUUUUCUUGCUAUUAAUAAUGGGAGCAUACACAGGCUAGAUUGAUCAACAUGAUGACAUUAAAAUAUUUGGAUUCAAAGAUGAAUAGCUUGAUAAUAUUCCAGAUCACUUUUCACUAGCACUGCACUUCUAUUAUGCAUGGUUUGCAUUGUUCUUAUUGCUUAUUUUGUCAGUCAUAUUGAAUGGUGUACCACCUCUGGAAGGUCUGCGCACAUUAAAAAAAUACUAUGUCAUACCAAGAAUAAUUUGACUGCAUAAAAUUCUACGGAAAAAAAUUUCUCCACAGUAUUCAGAGCAGAUUUGGGCUGCAAUGAACCAUAUUAGCUGGUUUAUGCCAAUAUAUACGAGUGCUUGGAUCUUACGCUAAAGGGCUUGAGCUGUAAAUCUGCCAAGCAUUUGAUAACUACUGUCGCGCCAAUUUUGCAGUACAAUGGUUUACUGGAAUACACUUAAAAAGCAGGAUAGAUUCUAUGAAUACACUAACAUUGUUUACGGAGAAGCCGCUAUAUUAUGGCUCCUUUUUUCGCUUUUGAAGCAAUCAUUAAAAGCUGGGUGGUGCGUGAGGGGAGAAUGUGUAGGAUACUGGAUACAUGAGGUGCCUAAUUUGACAAUGACAAAAUAAAGCACAUAAGAAGUUUUAAUAAAAAACGGGAAGGUUGAUGAACAGAAUAUGAUGUUUUUGAUGCAGCACAGGAAGCAAUAAUGUGAGAAGAGUCGACCACUUACCACGUACUAGAGCCACUUGGCAAGCCUAAAGAGAAGGUGUUGAGAUAGUAUUGCAGUGUUUUUAAUGCAGGAUACAAGCUAAGUGUUUAACUAUGAAAUGUGUCCAACACUGGCACAGACAAUAGAAUCAUACGGAUUAUUAUGUGGAGCUGUAAUGCAUGUAUGUUUCUUAAAUUUCACUGUGCCAAGACAACCUCACGAUAUAAAGCAGGCCAUGAUUGCACAAGUCAUGAAUUGGUGGGAAGUGCUCACAUCAGUAGGAAUAACCACUUUCCUGGUGACUUUCAAUUUGGCCUUGUCGGGCACUUGUUUCUUCAAGGUCUACAAAGUCAUCGAAGUCAGCAGCAUGUGUCUGGAUCUGGAAAAGACAAACGUUUAAUGCUUUUAAAGAAAGUCUCCAAGAACAACAUGAUCAUUACACGUGCAUUGCUGCCAUUGUAUAACCGCUUUUUUUUUUUUUUUGGAAAAGCGGGUGGGAGAUGAGCACUUGACCGAGGACGGGGGAGAGGCAAGUCGCAUACUAAAUAAAAAAAAUUUAAAUAAAGACAGUUUUGCGAGCGCAUGCCCAAGUCCCAUUUCCCCCCCUCUUCUGGCUAAGCCACAUGGUCCCUACUUAGUCGGAACAGGGCACAACGCUUGCCUACUAUAUUUUAGGGAAACUGCAAAUAUAAUACUCUGCGCCUGUAAGAAUAGCUCUAUAGAACAGACACGAACAGGCCGGGAAAAAGAAACACUGGCGUCGCACCCAUCACAAGCUUUGUAAGUGCAAAAAAAUAUCAAUACGAUUCCGUACUUCGGAAAAAAAUGCAACCCUCUUCAUUUCAAACUAAGUAUAUCACAUCACGCACGGUUCUUUGUUUAUCCAGAAAUGUUGCUUACCCUGUUCUCUUAAGCAAAAUAGUUAGCGAGCCAGAAAAUCGGGAAUAAACUAUCUGGUAUCAGGAGAAAGCUGAGCCAGUAUCUUUGGUAAUGAUAAGAACCUAAACCUCGUAAGAAGUCGGAUAUAAAUGCGAAACUCACCAGCGUGUUGCCUACCGCGGUGAAAUUUUUCAAUGCUGCCACAAGCUCACUGUAAGCACUGGUUGGGAGAAUGAGCUUUUUUCUUUCACCCGCCUCCAGGAUUUCCAAGCAGACGACACCGUCCCCCAUUUUGCUGGGGCUUGGGCCAGCAGCGGACGCGCAAACACGUGUGCGAGCGCAGCCGCUGAAAAAUUUCGGUUUCGCAUGGUCUGGAGCACAUCUUAACAAGCAUUAAGUCGAAGCUGUGCUGAAAUCAAGCCUUUUAUAAAUUCUGCAGUCAUCUCUUGUAGCGACAUCUAAAUAAAUUUAAAAACGCGUUUCUGAGACACAGUUGUCCAUUUAUUUGUCUUUUCAAGUGCCAGCAUUUAAAAACAUACAACAUGUAUACAAAACAGAUAAAUUUUAGCACCAUACUGGUGUUUUCUUGUAUAUUUGUGUUCUGCGGUUACUAAAGGUGCAGCAUUUUGUUUACCCGAAGGGGACAAAGGCCAAUAAAAUGUAUAAAUUUGCCUUCUGAACUGCGUUCUUUAUGUUAUGUUCGCUUUGUUUCGCACCCAGAGCUUGGAAAUUAAGGUUUGUUUCUUCACUAAAGGAUCUAAGCUCAAUGUUACGGUCCAUGAGACCUUGCAGAGUGAGUUUUCACACAGAAAAUACGAUUGACCCAUGUCAUAUGAUCACUUAAGCAGGCUUUAGCCGCGUCAAAUUAUCGAGUUCACGUAUCGUUUUGCAGAAAGAAAAGUACGCUACGCACAUCCCGUUUCCAGCGGUCUUAACUGUCUGGUUUUCGACCUGCUGCUAUAAUCUCUCUCUGUCUAUAUUUAAGUAUGGGGCACAGUAUUGCAUUAUUGACGUAGGCUUACCGUCUUAUCAGAAAGGAAAAUACGCUAUAUCUAUACGCGUAAUUGUCGAUUCCGUUUCCCGUACGCUGUCUGAACUUUCUGCUUUCGAUGAACAGAUAGUCGAGAGAGCGAUGUGAGCGGGACGGAAAAUAAAGUUCCGCGCAGGCUCAAGCAAAUUAUCGUACUAUGCAUUGUUGGUAUAUGUAUCUGUUAAUCAGAAACACUGAAAAAAUGUUUUUUUCCUAUCAUGACACUGAAGCACACAGAGUAGAAUGUUUGUUGUGCCUACCUGCGUGGGCUUCACUUGAUAUUUUUAACAGAUGAAUCAUCUUUGAGUGCAUGUGCAUUUUGGUAAGCUCCCAUACAUGACGUUAUAGUGAGAAACUAUGGUCCCAUGUCAGAUCAUAUAUUGUUAAUCUGUGGAAUUUGCACAGUAGGAAUUCACAAGACAAAUUUUUGCUGAGUGCCUUCUUUACACUUCAUUACAUUUUUUGCAUGCGAAAUAUAACACUACAACUUCCACUGAAGAUACUGCGCUUGUUGCAAACGUCUUUAUGCUGAUAGUUGGCACAUGUAAAUCAUGUAAACGUUUCGGAAGAACUUCGGCACAGCAGCAUCUACUGUUAUUUUGUGUGUAUAUGUCUGAGCAGCUACACAUCCCUGCAGAGGUAUAUUGUGCUGCCGCAAAACAGAUAGCCGCCUAGUUGUGGCACUUCUGGAUGGUUACAGUACACCCUGUCGUCCCUCACCCUGCUUUAACAUGUAUAUUUCACCAAUGGGUAAUGGACAAUGUUUGAUUCCGUUGGAUGUUCAAUGUCAGAUGCACUUUCAAUGGCUGAUUGUUGAAAGAACAAUGAACUGAUGCCUGAAAACAUGCGCACGAACUUUCCUCCCAUUUUAAUUGCUAAUGCCUUACAAUAUGUCUUAAGUUUCUUAACCUUAUAUGCCUAAAUUUGGAGCAGGAGUGGAGAGGAGUGCAGUAUUUUGAUUUUACCUGGCAUGGAAAGAUAUCUUAAAAUGCUGCUGCAUCUAUGUCGAUGUGUUUAUGCAUGCGCAGCCAUAUUAACUAAACUUUGUCUGCAAAGGCAUAAAAGUGGGGUUAGGGAAAGGGCUGCACUAUUGCAUGGCCUGCUCUCCCACACAUUUCACGAGCACUUUCACUGCAUUAUAUCUGACCAGGCAGUCCAGCAGCAGGAAAGUAACGUCUUUUCCAACCCUUUGCCAUUUCAUCGAUGCAGAGCAUACGAAAGAUCUUGGUUGCCUCCAUAAUGAAUGGCAACAUUUGGUACUGUAACGUUUCGUUCAUUGUAGACAUAAUUUGGCUUUGAUGCUGCAUAAUUCCUGUACAGACGCUGUGAUAUGUAAGAUGCGUGGGGCACAAAAAGAAAAGAAGACGAUGUGCGCCGACAGGUCCGAACGGCACGAGCCUUCGAGGUGCGUGAUCCGAGUUGUGAUCAGAGGAGAAGCGGCGCCAAGCUGGGAUUAUCGACGUGGCUCUGGGCCAAGAAGGUUAGAGCGUCAGCUUCGUACUGGCGACGGGAGCCAUGGAGGUUCGGGCAGGCCCGUGACGCUGGCGACCCAGGUGUGGCCGUCGACCUCAGCGACGUUCGAGCGAGGCUCCCUGGACCUGCUGCAGCCUCCCACGGCAGUGCCGGGCAUUUCAGGAAUUGGAUCCCCCUUCGGCAGACCAGAACGGACGGUAGUCCCUGCGGCGUCCUGCAGACACUCGGAGAAGAAGCGGUGGAGCCUGGUGUUAGGCCUAGCCAGGCAGGCCGGAACGCAACGUCACCGACAUCCGAGAUGGAGGAGCUGGCCGACUGAUACUAAGGAAGCAAAACUUGCGGAGUCGGCGGGAGCACUGAUGGUGACCAAGAGCUGACGCACAUCGGACUUGGAGGGACAACUAUCCUUUACAAACCUCAACGCUAUAGCAAGUCGUUCUCGAGGCUCCAGGGGUUCUCGAAUGUGGUGCUGCCGUGUGAGGUCCUCUGCUACAAAGGUCAAGAGCUGCGACGUCAUGCGGUGAAACAUAUAGAAAAAUCCAUGGUCACCCUGACGCAUCCGUUGCAUCUGUAAAAAAAGGUGCAUUAUUACCUGACAGAAGGCCCGUGCCCUACCCGCAUACACGUGCAAGUACCAGGAGCUGUACACUUUUAACUGACACACAUGGAUAGCGACUAGCCAUGAUUAACUUCACCCCCUGCAUUCUUUAUAUGCUCGAAUACAAACAGUAUGUCGGCAAACAGGACAACCAGUGAAUGUUAGAUUAAACAAAAAUUGUGCCGCCACUGCCAAGAAACUUCCGAAAGCAGUGGCAUAGCACUUUAACCUGCCAGGUCAUAAUUUAAUUACAUUACACUUCAUAUUCUACAGUCACACUUCCGAGAGGCAGGAAAUAUAAGAAAUCAUAUCUCAUCCACAAGUUUAAUACUUAACCAACACGUAUAAUGUUUCAACAGGUGCUCUUGAAUCCAUGUGCUAUAUUAAUGGCACGAAUAUUACUAGCAGUCCUUAACUUUUUUGUAGGGGUGCGCAAAUACCGAAUAGUAGAUUUAGAACUAAAUAUCCAUUCAAAUGAAGAAAAAAAACAGGGUGGAUAUUGAAUAAAAUAUCAAACAGCAGAAAA